rnacentral:rRNA from 1 species
CCCUUAGAUGUCCUGGGCCGCACGCGCGCUACACUGAUGCAUGCAACGAGUAUAUAACCUUGGCCUGAAAGGCCUGGGUAAUCUUUUGAACGUGCAUCGUGAUAGGGAUAGAUUAUUGCAAUUAUUAAUCUUGAACGAGGAAUUCCUAGUAAACGCGAGUCAUCAGCUCGCAUUGAUUACGUCCCUGCCCUUUGUACACACCGCCCGUCGCUCCUACCGAUUGAAUGCUCAGGUGAGCCAUUCGGACUUUCAUCAUGCUGGUUUCCAGUUUUGAUGAAGGAAAGUCUUGCGAACCUUAUCAUUUAGAGGAAGGAGAAGUCGUAACA